GCUUGUUUUUUCAAGAGUAUAUUUUUACUCUGAUAAAUAAUAAACUUUUCCAGAAGGCUAUCAGUGUGGCUGCCUCCUGCUGGAAGCCUGGGAUGCUGGAAUCAGGCAACUUCCUGUCUGUCUGUACAAGACACUGGGCUGCACUCUAAGAAUAUCUUGGCUCUCCCCAGGAUCUGGACCAUCACAGGGCCACAGAAAUUGUCCACUCUCUCCUCUGAAGAGAACAGAGCUGCCCCUCAUCUUCCAGCCCAGCUCUCCUGUUUUCUCAGCACCUCAGCGGGACAAGACAGACAGAGCCUGCCAGAACCAAGGUAGUGUGUUCACCUCUAGCAUGAGCUUUCAAAGCCGCAAAAAAUCACACAGAACCAAAGUGAAAACAGGAGGGGCCUGACUUCUCAGGGGCAAUUGAGGGGAGAGGAGACAGACCCUACACUUCUUUUUAGGAUCCCAGGGGGUCCCAGAGACCUGGCUUGUUUACACAUUGGGAGCCCUCUGACCACAGCCAUGGUGUCCUGACCUAGGGGACGUGUGACCCCAGGUGGGGGCUCUGGGGACUUUGUGAGUCUCACCCCAUCUACAUGCGUCAGGAUUAUGUUGGGGGGGGGGAGACCACACACACAAAAAUAAAAAAGGAAGAAUACAUGAGAGCUUCACUUGUGUUUAGGAAUUAAUACUUUGUGGUGUUCACUUUAUACAGGCCUGUGCCUGUUUGCCUCUUUACCCCUGGCUCAGGUGUCUACCUCGUAAUCAUUCCGAUUCACUAGGAUGAGCAUGGCGGGAAGGGAGGCAGGUUCACCUGGUGAGGUGACUCUGUGCAACCCCAUAGACAGCAGCCCACCAGGCUCCCCCGUCCCUGGGAUUCUCCAGGCAAGAACACUGGAGUGGGUUGCCAUUUCCUUUUCCAAUGCAUGAAAAUGAAAAGUGAAAGUGAAGUUGCUCAGUCGUGUCCGACUUAGCGACCCCAUGGACUGCAGCCUACCUACCAGGCUCCUCCGUCUAUGGGGUUUUCCAGGCAAGAGUACUGGAGUGGGGUGCCAUUGCCUUCUCCACCUCAGGUGGCUACCUGGUGAUUAUUCCAGUUUACCAGGACAAGCAUGGCGAGAAGGGAGGCAGGUUCACCUGGUGAGUUGAUUGCAGGGCACGUGGAUCAGGCAAAAGGCCGAUGGGGAGCGGGUGAUGUUGCUGCGCUGAUCUCCUUCCAGUGACCGUCCCUAUUCAGCAGAGACCAGACCUGGCCCUCGUCUUCCAGCCCUGCAUCUGGUGUGUUUUCUCAACACCUCAGUGGAACAAGAAAGGACUGAGCCUGCCAGAACCAAGAUAGUGUGUUCAACAUUAUCAUGACAGCUGUAAAAAUAGUUAAUAUCACACAGAACCAAAGGGAAAAGAGGAAGACUUCUCUGGGACAGUGCGGGGAGAGGAGACCAACCCUACACUUCUUUCUACCAUCCCAGGGGGUUACAGGAACCCACUCACUUCCACUUUAGCUGCCCAAGCAGCAGAGACCUGGUGUCCUAAGGAAGGGUCGUGUGAUCCCAGGUCUGGGGAUUGUGUGGGUCUCACUCCAUCCACAUGGGUCAGGAUCCUGAACCCAGAGACCCCAUAUCUGCUCUUUACCUGCAGUGUGUCUUGUCCCCUUGGAGAUUCCCAACGUCUGAAUUAGGGGUGUUGCCCUGAUUAACCUGUCUUCCUUUUUCUUCCCUUCACCUUGUUGCAUUCAUAUGGCGUCAGGCACCUUUGGGUGGGUUGCUGCUCUGUUAUGCUGAGUGAAAAUCUUUGAUGGUGUCAUAUUAGUAUCAUAGCCUAUGCCAUAUCUUAUCAGAGAGGUUAACCACUGUUUGGUGUCCCCUAGACCAAACUCGGGUAAUUUAAUUUGUUAUUUUAUGUUGGAGCAGAGUUGAUCUCUGGUGUUUUGUUUGUUUUAGGUAUAUAGACUUGCAGGAGACAUGGGUUCGAUCCCUGGGUUGGGAAGAUCCCCUGGAGAAGGAAAUGGCGACUCACCCCAGUAUUCUUGCCUGGAGAAUUCCAUGGACAGAGGAACCUGGUGGGCUGCAGAACAUGGGGUCACAGAGAGUCGGACACAACUGAGCGACUAAACAACAACCACACCUGUUUUAAGGUUUAUAUAUUGAUCUGAACCAGCCCAUUAUUCCCUGCUCCCUCCUUUCCAUUUUGGCAACAAUAACUUUCUUUUCUAAGCCUAUGAAUCU
rnacentral:lncRNA from 1 species